rnacentral:rRNA from 1 species
UACGGAGGGUGCAAGCGUUGUCCGGAUUUAUUGGGUUUAAAGGGUGCGUAGGCGGCCCUGUAAGUCAGUGGUGAAAGCCUCCAGCUCAACUGGAGAACUGCCAUUGAUACUGCAGGGCUUGAGUACAGACGAGGUUGGCGGAAUUGAUAGUGUAGCGGUGAAAUGCAUAGAUACUAUCAAGAACUCCGAUUGCGUAGGCAGCUAACUAGGCUGUAACUGACGCUGAGGCACGAAAGCGUGGGGAGCGAACAGG